GACGAACGCUGGCGGCGUGCUUAACACAUGCAAGUCGAACGGAAAGGCCCUGCUUUUGUGGGGUGCUCGAGUGGCGAACGGGUGAGUAACACGUGAGUAACCUGCCCUUGACUUUGGGAUAACUUCAGGAAAAUGGGGCUAAUACCGGAUAGGAGCUCCUGCUGCAUGGUGGGGGUUGGAAAGUUUCGGCGGUUGGGGAUGGACUCGCGGCUUAUCAGCUUGUUGGUGGGGUAGUGGCUGACCAAGGCUUUGACGGGUAGCCGGCCUGGGAGGGUGACCGGCCACAUUGGGACUGAGAGACGGCCCAGACUCCUACGGUAGGCAACAGUGGGGAAUAUUGCACAAUGGGCGGAAGCCUGAUGCAGCAACGCCGCGUGCGGGAUGACGGCCUUCGGGUUGUAAACCGAUUUCGCCUGUGACGAAGCGUGAGUGACGGUAAUGGGUAAAGAAGCACCGGCUAACUACGUG
rnacentral:rRNA from 1 species